rnacentral:rRNA from 1 species
CAGUCGCCGCGGUAAUACGUAGGUGGCAAGCGUUGUCCGGAAUUAUUGGGCGUAAAGGGCUCGCAGGCGGUUUCUUAAGUCUGAUGUGAAAGCCCCCGGCUCAACCGGGGAGGGUCUUUGGAAACUGUUUAACUUGAGUGCAAGAGGGGAGAGUGGAAUUCCAUGUGUAGCGGUGAAAUGCGUAGAUAUAUGGAGGAACACCAGUGGCGAAGGCGACUCUCUGGUCUGUAACUGACGCUGAGGCUCGAAAGCGUGGGUAGCAAACAGGAUUAGAUACCCCCGUAGUCCCUGUCUCUUAUAC